GAUGAACGCUGGCGGCGUGCCUAAUACAUGCAAGUCGAGCGAACGGACGAGAAGCUUGCUUCUCUGAUGUUAGCGGCGGACGGGUGAGUAACACGUGGAUAACCUACCUAUAAGACUGGGAUAACUUCGGGAAACCGUAGCUAAUACCGGAUAAUAUUUUGAACCGCAUGGUUCAAAAGUGAAAGACGGUCUUGCUGUCACUUAUAGAUGGAUCCGCGCUGCAUUAGCUAGUUGGUAAGGUAACGGCUUACCAAGGCAACGAUGCAUAGCCGACCUGAGAGGGUGAUCGGCCACACUGGAACUGCGACACGGUCCAGACUCCUACGGGAGGCAGCAGUAGGGAAUCUUCCGCAAUGGGCGAAAGCCUGACGGAGCAACGCCGCGUGAGUGAUGAAGGUCUUCGGAUCGUAAAACUUUGUUAUUAGGGAAGAACAUAUGUGUAAGUAACUGUGCACAUCUUGACGGUACCUAAUCAGAGAGCCACGGCUAACUACGUG
rnacentral:rRNA from 1 species